CCUACGGGAGGCAGCAGUGGGGAAUAUUGGACAAUGGGGGGAACCCUGAUCCAGCCAUGCCGCGUGUGUGAAGAAGGCCCUCGGGUUGUAAAGCACUUUCAGUGAGGAAGAACGCCUGGUGGUUAAUACCCAUCAGGAAAGACAUCACUCACAGAAGAAGCACCGGCUAACUCCGUGCCAGCAGCCGCGGUAAUACGGAGGGUGCGAGCGUUAAUCGGAAUUACUGGGCGUAAAGCGCGCGUAGGUGGCUUGAUAAGCCGGUUGUGAAAGCCCCGGGCUCAACCUGGGAACGGCAUCCGGAACUGUCAAGCUAGAGUGCAGGAGAGGAAGGUAGAAUUCCCGGUGUAGCGGUGAAAUGCGUAGAGAUCGGGAGGAAUACCAGUGGCGAAGGCGGCCUUCUGGACUGACACUGACACUGAGGUGCGAAAGCGUGGGUAGCAAACAGGAUUAGAUACCCUAGUAGUA
rnacentral:rRNA from 1 species